rfam:Dipodomys ordii contig_62434, whole genome shotgun sequence.
GGGAAUGUGGCUUAGUGGUAGAGUGCUUGCCUAGCAUGCAUGAAGCCCUGGGUUUGAUUCCUCAGCACCA